rnacentral:rRNA from 1 species
GACGAACGCUGGCGGCGUGCUUAACACAUGCAAGUCGAACGGUGAAAGCGGAGCUUGCUCCGCUGGAUCAGUGGCGAACGGGUGAGUAACACGUGGGCAACCUGCCCCUCACUUCGGGAUAACUCCGGGAAACCGGGGCUAAUACCGGAUAUGACCUCCUUGGGCAUCCUUGGAGGUGGAAAGUUUUUCGGUGAGGGAUGGGCCCGCGGCCUAUCAGCUUGUUGGUGAGGUAGUGGCUCACCAAGGCGACGACGGGUAGCCGGCCUGAGAGGGCGACCGGCCACACUGGGACUGAGCCACGGCCAAGACUCCUACGGGAGGCAGCAGUGGGGAAUAUUGCGCAAUGGGCGAAAGCCUGACGCAGCAACGCCGCGUGCGGGAUGACGGCCUUCGGGUUGUAAACCUCUUUCAGCAGGGAAGAAGCGAAAGUGACGGUACCUGCAGAAGAAGCACCGGCUAACUACGUGCCAGCCGCCGCCGUAA